CCUUCAUAUCGUGUAGAUUUCAGAAAAGAGGAGAGAUAAUUUGCAUCCAAACACGUUUUAAAGACACUUUCCUGCUUCCUGAUUCCUCCUGAUUGGAUUGUAAACCAAACAGAAGAUCAGGUGCAUCAUUAACCAGAGGACAAAAGAAGAGAAAGCAAAGAACUGACCACUGAGAAUAUCAGGCUGAACACACAAAACACGUUUUUCCUUUUAGUC